AUGAACGCUGGCGGCGUGCCUAAUACAUGCAAGUCGAACGAAUCUCUUUUAGAGAUGAGUGGCGAACGGGUGAGUAAUACAUAGGUAACCUGCCCCUGUGCGGGGGAUAACAGGAGGAAACUCCUGCUAAUACCGCAUAGCCAUGAGCACCGCAUGGAGCUCAUGCCAAAUAUCCUUUAUGGGAUAGCGCAGGGAUGGACCUAUGGCGCAUUAGCUGGUUGGCGGGGCAACGGCCCACCAAGGCAACGAUGCGUAGCCGGCCUGAGAGGGCGGACGGCCACAUUGGGACUGAGACACGGCCCAGACUCCUACGGGAGGCAGCAGUAGGGAAUUUUCGGCAAUGGGGGAAACCCUGACCGAGCAACGCCGCGUGAGCGAAGAAGGCCUUCGGGUCGUAAAGCUCUGUUGUAAAGGAAGAACGGCGCAUACAGGAAAUGGUAUGCGAGUGACGGUACUUUACCAGAAAGCCACGGCUAACUACGUGCCAGCAGCCGCGGUAAUACGUAGGUGGCGAGCGUUAUCCGGAAUCAUUGGGCGUAAAGAGGGAGCAGGCGGCCGCAAGGGUCUGUGGUGAAAGACCGAAGCUAAACUUCGGUAAGCCAUGGAAACCGGGCGGCUAGAGUGCGGAAGAGGAUCGUGGAAUUCCAUGUGUAGCGGUGAAAUGCGUAGAUAUAUGGAGGAACACCAGUGGCGAAGGCGACGGUCUGGGCCGCAACUGACGCUCAUUCCCGAAAGCGUGGGGAGCAAAUAGGAUUAGAUACCCUAGUAGUCCACGCCGUAAACGAUGGUCACUAAGUGUCGGGGGUCAAACCCCGGUGCUGCAGUCAACGCAAUAAGUGACCCGCCUGAGUAGUACGUUCGCAAGAAUGAAACUCAAAGGAAUUGACGGA
rnacentral:rRNA from 1 species